GCCAAAGGCAGCUACUUUCUUCUGAAGCUCAGGUUCCCUGUCCGGACAUGAGUUUUCUGUUAGGUCUAGGUCCCAGGGAGGAGUAAGGGAAAAGUUCAAAGGGCAGACAGCAGCCAAGUCACCAUCUUGCUGUCACCGAACUAGGGAGAGAAGGUAAGUGAAUACAAAAUAGACUGUGUUGUGUUCUGUGU
rnacentral:lncRNA from 1 species